AGAGUUUGAUCCUGGCUCAGGAUGAACGCUGGCGGCGUGCCUAACACAUGCAAGUCGAGCGGUAGCCUGCGGCUCUGUCUACGGGUGGGGCUGCGGGUGAGAGCGGCGGACGGGUGCGUAACACGUAGGUAACCUGCCCCGAAGUGGGGGAUAACCACUCGAAAGGGUGGCUAAUACCGCAUGAGCUCUGCGUGCUGGGAGGCAUGUGGAGGAAAGCCUGGAGGGGGUGCGAGCCCUUUUCUGGGCGCUUCGGGAGGGGCCUGCGGCCGAUUAGCUGGUUGGUGGGGUAAGGGCCCACCAAGGCGAUGAUCGGUAGCUGGUCUGAGAGGACGAUCAGCCACACGGGAACUGAGACACGGUCCCGACUCCUACGGGGGGCAGCAGUGAGGGAUAUUGGACAAUGGGCGGAAGCCUGAUCCAGCAACGCCGCGUGGAGGAAGAAGGCCUUCGGGUUGUAAACUCCUUUUCUGGGGGAAGAGGGAGGACGGUACCCCAGGAAUAAGACACGGCUAACUACGUGCCAGCAGCCGCGGUAACACGUAGGUGUCGAGCGUUAUCCGGAAUUACUGGGCGUAAAGGGCACGCAGGCGGCUGGGCAAGUUCCGUGUGAAAGCUCUCGGCUCAACCGGGAGAGGUCGCGGGAGACUGUCUGGCUAGAGGCGGGGAGAGGGGCGUGGAAUUCCCGGUGUAGCGGUGGAAUGCGUAGAUAUCGGGAGGAACACCAGUGGCGAAGGCGGCGCCCUGGCCCUGGCCUGACGCUGAGGUGCGAAAGCGUGGGGAGCGAACGGGAUUAGAUACCCCGGUAGUCCACGCUGUAAACGAUGCGAACUAGGUGUGGGCAGCAUUGGACCUGUCCGUGCCGAAGCCAACGCGAUAAGUUCGCCGCCUGGGGAGUACGGCCGCAAGGCUAAAACUCAAAGGAAUUGACGGGGGGCCGCACAAGCAGCGGAGCGUGUGGUUUAAUUCGAUGCAACGCGAAGAACCUUACCUGGGUUGGACAUGC
rnacentral:rRNA from 1 species